AGAACGAACGCUGGCGGCAGGCUUAACACAUGCAAGUCGAACGCCCCGCAAGGGGAGUGGCAGACGGGUGAGUAACGCGUGGGAAUCUACCCAGUUCUACGGAAUAACACAGGGAAACUUGUGCUAAUACCGUAUACGCCCUACGGGGGAAAGAUUUAUCGGGAUUGGAUGAGCCCGCGUUGGAUUAGCUAGUUGGUGGGGUAAUGGCCUACCAAGGCGACGAUCCAUAGCUGGUCUGAGAGGAUGAUCAGCCACACUGGGACUGAGACACGGCCCAGACUCCUACGGGAGGCAGCAGUGGGGAAUAUUGGACAAUGGGCGCAAGCCUGAUCCAGCCAUGCCGCGUGAGUGAUGAAGGCCUUAGGGUUGUAAAGCUCUUUCAGUGGGAAGAUAAUGACGGUACCACAGAAGAAGCCCCGGCUAACUUCGUGCCAGCAGCCGC
rnacentral:rRNA from 1 species